rnacentral:rRNA from 1 species
GACGAACGCUGGCGGCGUGCUUAACACAUGCAAGUCGAACGGAAAGGCCCUGCUUGCAGGGUACUCGAGUGGCGAACGGGUGAGUAACACGUGGGUGAUCUGCCCUGCACUUCGGGAUAAGCCUGGGAAACUGGGUCUAAUACCGGAUAGGAGCCAUUUUUAGUGUGAUGGUUGGAAAGUUUUUUCGGUGUAGGAUGAGCUCGCGGCCUAUCAGCUUGUUGGUGGGGUAAUGGCCUACCAAGGCGGCGACGGGUAGCCGGCCUGAGAGGGUGGACGGCCACAUUGGGACUGAGAUACGGCCCAGACUCCUACGGGAGGCAGCAGUGGGGAAUAUUGCACAAUGGGCGCAAGCCUGAUGCAGCGACUCCGCGUGGGGGAUGACGGCCUUCGGGUUGUAAACUCCUUUCGCUAGGGACGAAGCUUUUUGUGACGGUACCUAGAUAAGAAGCACCGGCUAACUACGUG